UAACAGGCAAAUCUCUCGGGUUAGAGCAAC
rnacentral:piRNA from 1 species